CACACCUGAUUCCUGCGGAUCAGACAUCCUAUAACUCUAUUAAAACCAACCCUAGUAUCAUCUAUAUCUAUAUAUCUAUAUAAAGUAAAAUCUCGGGAUGCUGACGUGGCGGCUUCCAAGACUCCCAUUCUAUUUUCCCUCGGUUCCUAAGCCUCACUGUUUGUUGAUAAGUGUUGUGAAAUCUUAAACUUUUCUGGGAGAAAUUGAAAGUCUCAGCAUUAAUUACUGACGUUUAUUACUUUCAGUUGAGUAUUCAUAAAGGCCGAAACUGAAAAAAUCUAAGUUCAAGUUCCCAUCUCAAAAUCUCAAAACAGACAAUCAUCGAAACUCUCCGCCAUGGCACCCCGACCUUCUUUGGAUCGGAACAAUUCUGUGCGGCUUCGUUGUCUCUCGCUCUUUUGAAGAUCAAGCUAAUCAAGAAAAUUCCAGCGGCGUCCCUGGACAUCCACUCCUCCAAUCCUGUAGUUGAUGGGCGAUUAGCCCUGGCCAUAUCUAGACUCUUUGUGCUGAAGAAUCAGCGAUAUGCUCUGAAGUUUGUGGCUUGAUCUAAUGUUGUUGAGCUACUCGGAUCUCAAUCGAGUACUUCUUGAUCGAUCUUGACAAACACAAUUUUUGUCCCCUGCUGUAAUGCAUGUUGUGCCUUGUACCGGUUUUUAAUUCGAUAUCGGAUUUGACAGGUUGAGCAGGUGAUCAAGGAGAAGAAUAUGGUGAUGUGUUUGUUAGAGUAGAAGGUUAAUGUCAUUUAUUUGUGGAGAGCCUGAUCUUGUAGACAAAGAAAAGAUGUUCAGAAUAGUUGAAGGAGGUGGUAUCAAGCUUGAUUUUUCUUCUACAAGAUGCGGAGAGUUUCCAGGAUUUCAACAGAUGCGCACAAUGUUCACAUCAUGUUUUUGGAAGGAAUUUGUGGCUCGUGGUGCUGAAUUACACAACAAUUGUAAAGCCAAUACUAAGAUGGUCGCAAGGCUGUCAACUGGAGUAGGAUGAAGGUCCUCAGAGUAAUUGCUUGCUUCGGAGAAUGGCAUUAAUUUACAAAUUAAAGAGGAGUCCUCCAUGACAAUAGAGAACUGCACACCCUCGUAGGGAAGGAAUUUGUCUUCAAACUGACACUUAACAAGUACAAUUGAGUUGAUGGCCGCAAGGACUAUGGAGUUUCUACGGUAUAUGUACCCGUGCAAGAUCUUGAACCUCCUUAUGCGAGGAAAAAUAAGCCAUAGGCUGCCCUCGAUCAGGCGGAGUCUUCAGCAUCUGCUGGCAAAGUGGAAGCAGAUACUGGCAGCGGCGAGAGAAAGCGGUCACCUGUUCUUCACGCUGUUGCCGAGAGCCAAAAUGCGGCACCUUGAUGUAUGGGUGACUGCUUGCUGCACCAUAACUUCAUGCAAGAUGCUAUAUUACUGUUCGCUUAUGACGUUAUGUUUUUAAGACACAUUAUAUGUUUGGUGUUUUGUAUUUUUUCAGUUGAAUGCAAUGAACAACUCCUUUUAUC